AAAGGCGAAGUUGAUGGCCAAUGGGUUAAUAUUCCCAUACUACCUUAAUGAGCGAUGGAGAGAAGGAGGAGUGAUAGUUCCGCGAUCUGACGAAUAUGGUCGUUAAAAGGCGUAGGUAUAGGUCUUGUAGUUAAAUGCGCAAGAUUUGCUGAAACCCAACAGUACCUGGCGGCUUCGGCCAAAGGGAUAGAGAACGUAAGCAGACUUCCAAGAAAAUCUUCUAAGCAUAUUGUUAAGGUACCCGUACCGCAAACCGACACAGGUAGUCAAGGAGAGAAUCCUAAGGUGCUCGAGUGAGUCAUGGCUAAGGAACUAGGCAAAUUAAACCUGUAACUUCGGGAAAAGGGUUGCCUCCUCUAGCAAUAGAGAGGUCGCAGAGAAAUGGCCCAGGCGACUGUUUAACAAAAACACAUGGCUAUGCGAAAUCGCAAGAUGAAGUAUAUGGCCUGACACCUGCCCGGUGCUGGAAGGUUAAGGGUGGAAGUUAGUCGCAAGGCGAAGCUUUGAACUGAAGCCCCAGUAAACGGCGGCCGUAACUAUAACGGUCCUAAGGUAGCGAAAUUCCUUGUCGGGUAAGUUCCGACCUGCACGAAUGGUGUAACGAUCUGGGCACUGUCUCAGCCAUGAGCUCGGUGAAAUUGUAGUCACGGUGAAGAUGCCGUGUACCCGUCACGGGACGGAAAGACCCCAUGAACCUUUACUAUAGCUUCGCAUUGACAUUGGGUAGAUGAUGUGUAGGAUAGGUGGGAGGCAUUGAUCCGUGGCCGCUAGGUUACGGGGAGUCAACGGUGAAAUACCACCCUUUAUCUAUCUGAUGUCUAAUCCGGGGAACUGGAGACAGUGCGUGGUGGGUAGUUUGACUGGGGUGGUCGCCUCCGAAAGUGUAUCGGAGGCUUUCAAAGGUAUGCUCAGUACGCUUGGUAACCGUACGUGGAGUGCAAUAGCAAAAGCAUGCUUGACUGUGAGACUGACAAGUCGAUCAGGGACGAAAGUUGGAUAUAGUGAUCCGGUGGUUCUGCAUGGAAGGGCCAUCGCUCAAAGGAUAAAAGGUACUCUGGGAUAACAGGCUGAUCUCCCCCAAGAGCUCACAUCGACGGGGAGGUUUGGCACCUCGAUGUCGGCUCGUCACAUCCUGGGGCUGGAGAAGGUCCCAAGGGUUAGGCUGUUCGCCUAUUAAAGUGGCACGCGAGCUGGGUCCAGAACGUCGUGAGACAGUUCGGUCCCUAUCUGUGAUGGGCGUAGGAAGUUUGAGAGGCUCUGACCUUAGUACGAGAGGACCGGGUUGGACUAACCGCUGGUGUACCGGUUGUGGCGUCAGCUGCAUCGCCGGGUAUCUACGUUGGGACGGGAUAAGCGCUGAAAGCAUCUAAGCGCGAAACCCACCUCAAGAUGAGACUUCCAUUAAGGGACGUCAGAGAUGAUGACGUUGAUAGGCUGCAGGUGUAAAGGCAGAAAUGUCAAAGCUGAGCAGUACUAAUUACUCAA
rnacentral:rRNA from 1 species